GCUGGGUGUGGUGGUGUGCACCUGUAGUCCCAACUACUCAGGAGGCUGAGGCAGGAGAGUCGCUUGAACCCGGGAGGCGUAGGUUGCAGUGAGCCGAGAUCGUGCCACUGCACUCCAGCCUGGGUGACAGAGCGAAAUUCAGUCUCAA
rfam:Pan troglodytes isolate Yerkes chimp pedigree #C0471 (Clint) chromosome 11, whole genome shotgun sequence.